rnacentral:lncRNA from 1 species
AUCAUGCUCAAACAAUGUGUUUGAAAGACUAGAGAGUGUAAGCAGGAAGAGGGAUAAUGGUCAGCCCUACUUGCUAUCUAUUUUUUGCUGAUUAUCUGUGUUAUUCAUUCCUAAAUGAUGUUACCUAUCACCAUAGUGUGUAUUGAAUGUACACCACGUCGAAUAUGGCAUAAUUAUACAAUCAUCAUUUAACACUUUCAUUAGGGCUUGAUUUAUACAAAAUGUUAUUUUUUUUUCAGUAUCCUGAAAGCAUGUUUGUCUCCAUUUUUAUUGAAGAAGAUGAUUUGUAGCAAGAUCUAUUAAUUUAAUGUCAUCAAUGCAUUUUAAUCUCUUCUCCCAUUUAUCCGCCUAUCAAUAAUUACUUCCUUCAAAAUGUGGUCAAAAACCCCACAUAUGAUGUCAAAAGGAUUCACUAGCUUGUUUUGGUGGCUAGCUUCUUCAGCUAAUGGAUGACACAGAGAAAUACCUGAAUCUAUCCUGUGUCUGUGAGCACCAAAUUCCUAGAUUGCAAGACCAGCCUAAUUCUUUGCUCUGCUGGAAGUCAUCUUAAGAGGCUGCUUGACGUGGGCCUCAGGAAUGCCUUGUGGAACUUCUGCACUCAGCUCUUACUCCAUCAUCACCGCCUUGCAGAGAGCGGUGGAUGGCUGCAUCUGGGAGUCCAUCUAAGUGAGGGGCUGGUUCACUUUGAACACUGGUGUGGAGCAAGGCUACACUUACUUUCUGGAGCUCUUUAGCAUUAUCAUUCGUAACUACUGUGUAGGCAGCACGAGCAGCAGCAUUCUGUGGGGUGGAUUGCACAUAUCUUGGAAGCGUAAAUUGUGCUAGUAGCACUGCGUUACUGAGCCAUAGACCUGAAAAAACCUGUGAAGAUACAUAACCUAGCAAAAGCAGUAAGCCAGACAGGAUUUAAAAUCAGUUAUCAAAGCAAACAUCCCUGAAAGCUUAAUACCAAGCAUCAAAGUCAUGCUAGAAAACACAAAUUCUGGGAAAGCAGAGCUUGCCAGUCCUGUCCAUAUCCCACUUCUGACUAAUUAGGAAAGAACUGACAGUAAAAAUAGGAAAGUCUUGCACCACUCAUUUCAGCAUAUGUA